CCAGAAUGCUACAGCAGCUCACAAACCAAUGGGUGACGUCACGGCAGGUUGCCACCUAAAGUGUGUGUGUAUGUGUGUGUGUUAAGUGCAGCCUUCCAGCAGCUCUGUGCUCCCGUCAAACAUCAACUCCACACCUACUUCAGAUCAGCUCAUCACCCCGACAGGCUCCUGCAGUGUUUAAACCCGCCUCCUCACUCCACUCGCCGCCACAUUGUUCACCUGCACCUGCCUGGCCCAGCUCCUCAUCUUUCAACGAACCCCAGCCUGAGAUUCACUACCCAGGCUUCUCUGCGUUCGUCCUCCUGUCUGACCCAGUCCUCUACUCUGUCCCGCUCUCCAAUGAUCAGAGCCUUUGGCCUUCUUCUCCUUAAAUAUUAACAAUAAACAGCUUUUGUUGGG